GUGGAUUUCUUCUCACCGGGGUGCGGUGGCUGCAAAGCGCUGCAUCCGAAGAUUUGCCAGAUUGCGGAGAUGAAUCCGGAUGUGAUGUUCCUGCAUGUGAAUUAUGAGGAGCACAAGUCGAUGUGUUAUAGCUUGAAUGUGCAUGUGCUGCCGUUUUUUAGGUUCUAUAGGGGAGCGCAAGGUCGGAUUUGUAGCUUCAGCUGCACUAAUGCAACUAUCAAG
rnacentral:misc_RNA from 1 species